rnacentral:rRNA from 1 species
ACUUUCAACAACGGAUCUCUUGGCUCUCGCACGAUGAAGAACGUAGCGAAGUGCGAUAAGUGAUGUGAAUUGCAGAAUUCCGUGAAUCAUCGAAUCUUUGAACGCAAAUUGCCUCUCUGGUAUUCCGGAGAGUAUGCCUGUUUGAGGGUCAGU